GACGAACGCUGGCGGCGUGCUUAACACAUGCAAGUCGAACGGUGAAGCUCCAGCUUGCUGGAGUGGAUCAGUGGCGAACGGGUGAGUAAUACGUGAGCAACCUGCCCCAGACUCUGGAAUAAGCGCUGGAAACGGCGUCUAAUACUGGAUACGAGAUCAAGCCGCAUGGUUAUGGUCUGGAAAGUUUUUCGGUUUGGGAUGGGCUCGCGGCCUAUCAGCUUGUUGGUGAGGUAAUGGCUCACCAAGGCGACGACGGGUAGCCGGCCUGAGAGGGCGACCGGCCACACUGGGACUGAGACACGGCCCAGACUCCUACGGGAGGCAGCAGUGGGGAAUAUUGCACAAUGGGCGAAAGCCUGAUGCAGCGACGCCGCGUGAGGGAUGACGGCCUUCGGGUUGUAAACCUCUUUCAGCAGGGAAGAAGCGAAAGUGACGGUACCUGCAGAAGAAGCACCGGCUAACUACGUG
rnacentral:rRNA from 1 species